AUGCCCCUUGGCAAUCAUUAUUUCACCUGACCGUUUGAUCUUUUCCUUUCCAACAGCUUGAGUAUAGGUUCACACGUGGCUGUCAGAUGAGAUGUGAACCAUGACAUGUAGCUCAAUCUACCUAAUAGACCACGUACCUCUUUCUGUUUUCGGUUCAGGCACUUCUCUUAUUUUCUUUUCUUUUUUUUAUUUUAUUUUUUAUUUUUUUUUAAGUAGGAUCAACCUCGGAUUCCUCUCUGACAAUAAACCCCAACAGCUUACCGGAUCGCACUCUGAUAGUGCACUCACUUGAAUUCAACCUCAGUUUGAAUUGUCUCAACCGGUCAAACGACUUGCCCCGGUCUGCCAGAUGCCCCUCUCCUGUUUGGGACUUUG
rnacentral:lncRNA from 1 species